rnacentral:lncRNA from 1 species
AAAAAAAAUAAAUUAAAUUCAAGCUUUUGAAGAACAGAAAAAUGAAAUUAGUUGUGAUGUCAGUUGAGGAACAAAAAUGUUAUUUGAACUACCACACAGACUCUGGAUGCAAAGUGACAUGAUUAUAUAGAUCUCAUAUAUGAUAUGAUAUUAUAAUUGUAAAAUUAAAAGGUGGACUCAAAUGAUUUCAACGAUGUUACGUCGGUCAAACCGUGAGCGUCCUCCAACAAAUUUCUCCAAAAGAAAAUAGAAACAAAAUGAGGUUUUGAGUUUUAACCAUCUUGUCUUGUCUUGUUGAAAAAGAAAGAAAUACUCAAAACUUGAAUCCAAUUUGUUGGAUUAUUAUUUUUCACGCAAGUAAUGGGUUUGUUUUACCUUUUCCAAUUCAAACUCUCACACCAAAAACCCUUUCCACCAUUUUUUCCUUAAAACUUAGAAUUUAAUUCCCAAUUAGCCAUGCCUGUUUCAAGAUUUUUACUCUCUUCUUCCAAACACCGUUNNN